rnacentral:misc_RNA from 1 species
GGCGAAAGCCGCGAUUAAAUCUCACGCUCCGGCGCUAUAUUCGCUCGCCGUCAUUCAAUUUAACGGCAGCGGUGGCUCUAAGAGCGACAAGGAUCUCCAGGCAGGCGUAGCGCUCUGUGCUCGAGCCGCUUUUCUCGGCCAUGUGGACGCACUUCGCGAACUCGGCCACUGCCUUCAAGACGGUUACGGUGUGAGACAAAACUCCGACGAAGGCCGCCGUCUCCUCAUCCAAGCCAACGCCCGUGAGCUUGCUGCGGUUCUACUCUCCUCCUCGAGUAUAUGGCAGCAACAGCGCCACCACCAGUUUGGCAACCUCCCUGAUUUGACGGCGACGCGUUGUUCAUUGCUGAGCGAUUUUGGGUGUAACGUUCCGGCGCCGGAACCACAUCCGGUGAACCUGUUUUUGAGAGAGUGGUUCGAGUC